rnacentral:rRNA from 1 species
GGAGGCUACCGCUAUUGGAAUCCGAUUAAGCCAUGCGAGUCGAGAGACCUCGGGUCUCGGCAGACGUCUCAGUAACACGUGGAUAAUCUACCCUUGAGUGGGGGAUAAGCUUGGAAACCUGAGUAUAAUACCCCAUAGGCCUAGGAUGCUGGAAUGCUUCUAGGCUAAAAGCUCCGGCGCUCAAGGAUGAGUCUGCGACCUAUCAGGCUGUAGUGGGUGUAACGGACCCACUAACCUUCGACGGGUACGGGCCUUGAGAGAGGUUGCCCGGAGUUGGACUCUUAGACACGAGUCCAGGCCCUACGGGGUGCAGCAGGCGCGAAAACUUCACAAUGUGGGAAACCACGAUGAGGGGAUUCCAAGUGCCAGCACACUGUGUUGGCUGUUCAUCUGCCUAAAAAGCUGGUGAAGUAAGGGCCGGGUAAGACGGGUGCCAGCCGCCGCGGUAAUACCCGCGGCCCGAGUGGUGGUCGUUAUUAUUGAGCCUAAAGCGUCCGUAGCCGGUUCAGUAAAUCUCUGGGUAAAUCGGGCAGCUUAACCGUCCGAAUUCCGGAAAGACUGCUGGACUUGGGACCGGGGGAGGUUGGAGGUACUCCUGGGGUAGGGGUGAAAUCCUGUAAUCCUGGGGGGACCACCAGUGGCGAAGGCGUCCAACCAAAACGGCUCCGACGGUAAGGGACGAAGCCCUGGGGCGCAAACGGGAUUAGAUACCCCGGUAGUCCAGGGUGUAAACGCUGCAGGUUUGGUGUUGGGGGUCCUACGAAGGCGCCCAGUGCCGGAGAGAAGUUGUUAAANCCUGCCGCUUGGGGAGUACGUCCGCAAGGAUGAACUUUAA